rnacentral:lncRNA from 10 species
AGUGACUCCCCUGGUUCUCAGGCCUCUGAGUUUGUACUGGAACAACACUACCAGCUUCCCUGGGGUUGCAGCUAGCAGAUGUAGAUUGUGGGUCUUCUUAGCCUUAAUAAUUAUGUGAGCCAAUAUUCCCCCAUGAUAAAUAUAUCUAUUCCCAUAGAUAGAUAUAUGUUAUAUUGGUUUUGUUUCUAUGGAGAACCCUAAAAUAGUAAGCAAAACAAAAUGGACAGCAGACAAAGGAAGGAUGAAGUUUCAAGUCAGUUUUUCAGUUUGGUGGCCUGAAAGCUAAGUGGGUCUUGACUGAAGGAUUCUAUUUUCUCUGAAGUCUGAGGGAGUUCAAUUUAUUCAUUCUGGGUGGCUCUCAGGGAUAUAGCUAAGAAGCAUUGGGGAAAAUUUAGCUAUGCAGGUUUCAGUUCAAUAAUAAGAGCGUCUGAAUAGUGACAAUUGUUUUCAGUAAUGAUAUCUAACUUUCACUGAGCAUUUAUCACGUGCCAGGCUUUAAGUUAAUUUAUCUCAUUCAAUUAUUUCAGCAACCUGAUGAGGUUGGUAUCAUUAUUAUUUUUAUUUUGCACACAAAAAUUAAGAUUCUUAAAGGGGAAGUAAAUUUCUGAAGGUCACACUAUCAGAAGUUAAUCCAAAUAUAGAAAUAGCUUGACUGGUAGUGAGUUCCCUAUCACUGAUAGUAAUUUUCCCUAAAUUGUGUAAUAAUUAUUUAGAUAAAAAAAUAGGAGUUUCUUUUAGAAAUAGAGGAUAAAAAUAUAUUUUGUUAGGGAAGGCUGGCCAUUUUCCUACCAAGUACUUAAAAUAAUUGUUCGUUAGGUAUGCUGUAAAGAAUAAUUCCAACAAAAGAAAUGAGAUUGCAAUAACUUGGUAGUUUAAAAACUCAGCAUUUUGGAAUCCUGGAGGUCCAUGAACAUAUCCCAGGGUCCCUCAAGAGGGGCUGGCUUCUUUCUUUUCUGCUUCUGCCCCAUCGUAAGUAAGACAGCUACAUGUCCACUGGCUCUCCUGUGUAUUGAGACCACUUGUAAAAUUUCAUAUAAAAAAGUUGUAUGGAUAAGAAAAUGUCUAGAAGCCAUCAGAAUGAAAAUCCUUCAUCAUAUUCUAGCCCUAUAAUUCCGUGGAAAGAAUUUUCUGGAGGGCAGGUGUGAACUGGAGGCUGGAACAGUGGCCUUUUCCACACUGCCUAGUCCCCCCAUCCUGGGUACCCCGCCCAGCCUGCUCUGCGCUGCACCGCCUGCCUCUCAGAAGAAUCUCCUCUUCUGCGAAGGCCAUUCAGGGCUUCCCAACCCGGGCCAGCCCUCGUAGCUCCCAGGGGCUCUGAACACCCAGUGGCUGGGCCACUUCGAGCUCUCUGGGGGAGAGGAUUUGCAUUUGCAGCAGGCUCUGGCCUCCUGGGUGUGGCCCGGGUCUGCAUGAACCUCCCAGGCCGGGGAUGGAGCCCUGCGGCUCUGCCAGGGGGAUGCUCCCUCCCUGUCCUUUGAAAAUGUCGGCUGUGAAAACAGCACUGGCAGGCACACUCUCUGCUCACACAGAAAGCUCCUGACUCAGCUGUUUCUCGUCGAUGCUGGCAGUGUCCCCCGGGACGGGGAGGGCAGGCCGUGGCCAGGCCAGCCACGGAGGAGGCUCUGGGUGACCUGUGGGGCCAUUUGCCACCCGUCACUCCAGGUCUGCGGUCUGCCGAGCCACCACCUGCACCUUGUGCUCUUCCAAGAUGGAAUUCCGGGGGUGGGCACUGGGCAGCUAAUCACCAAUUGGUGAUCGAGCUGCCGUUCCCAUGGUGAUUUCCCAUCGAGCCCACACACCCUGGGCUCUCAUCCCCUCCCAUUCACUGUAACCUCCAUUAAGUAGAAACAAAAGAUUAAUAUGGCAGAAGCCAUUUAAUGAACUCGGCAGUGGUGCAGAGGCUUUUAGCUUUUUCCUGGAGUGGAUUCCUGGAACAGCAAGGCUGGGGCCCCUCAGCCCCUGCAGGAGGUGCCACAGGCUUUCCCGGCGUCUGAUGUCUCGCCCCAUUGUCAGACUUCAAUUGCAGCAAAUGCCUGCCCAGACAGUCUCCUGGUUUAGGGGAAGACCCCCUUUCUUUACGUCUGUGUGUAAUUCAUUUUAUCUGUUCACACCAGGAAGGGAGGAAAAUAGGAAAUCAAAAGAAAUGAAGAAUGAUGCAAACUUUCUCUCCCAACAGGCAAGGGAAGGGAAGAAGGGGGCAGUCAGAGAUGGGCAGCGUGUGGAGAAGCAAAUUGGGCAUCUGGAGCCCCCAUUGCUUGCCACUUGCCAUCUCUGAUGGGAGCCAGUUCUGGACUGGGGCCCUGAGGAGGGAAGUGACAGAGCCGCAGCACUGCCAUCUUGGACACACACUGCCAUCUUGGACACGCACGGCCAUUUUAAGUUCCCUUGAUUAAAAACCGCCUAAAUCCAGCCCCAAAACCUCAGCCUAAUGGUUAAUGUCAGCAUGACCAGAAACAUUCCAACCCUGAGAUAAACCCCUCUCCAGCCAGAAACAUGCCAAUCCCAAGAUAACCUACCCUCUGACCAGAGACAUGCCAGCCCCGCAAUAAACUUUCCCUCACACAGAAACAUUCCAAGCCUGCAAUAAACUCCCCCUUCCUAAACCCUUAAAUACCCUUAGUCUCUAAGAGAGAAUGCUCCUGAUGGAAAUUGGCCAGGAGCCCCUCUCAGGUUUAUUCUCCAAAAUAAAACUGUCUUUGACUGUUGAGCCACUUUUCAUGUUUCUUUCUUCUUU